AGAGAAGCUUGCUUCUCUUGAGAGCGGCGGACGGGUGAGUAAUGCCUAGGAAUCUGCCUGGUAGUGGGGGAUAACGUUCGGAAACGGACGCUAAUACCGCAUACGUCCUACGGGAGAAAGCAGGGGACCUUCGGGCCUUGCGCUAUCAGAUGAGCCUAGGUCGGAUUAGCUAGUUGGUGGGGUAAUGGCUCACCAAGGCGACGAUCCGUAACUGGUCUGAGAGGAUGAUCAGUCACACUGGAACUGAGACACGGUCCAGACUCCUACGGGAGGCAGCAGUGGGGAAUAUUGGACAAUGGGCGAAAGCCUGAUCCAGCCAUGCCGCGUGUGUGAAGAAGGUCUUCGGAUUGUAAAGCACUUUAAGUUGGGAGGAAGGGUUGUAGAUUAAUACUCUGCAAUUUUGACGUUACCGACAGAAUAAGCACCGGCUAACUCUGUGCCAGCAGCCGCGGUAAUACAGAGGGUGCAAGCGUUAAUCGGAAUUACUGGGCGUAAAGCGCGCGUAGGUGGUUUGUUAAGUUGGAUGUGAAAUCCCCCGGGCUCA
rnacentral:rRNA from 1 species